rnacentral:rRNA from 1 species
UACGAAGGGUGCAAAGCGUUGCUCGGAAUUAUUGGGCGUAAAGCGCACGUAGGCGGCUUUGCAAGUCGGAUGUGAAAUCCCUCGGCUUAACCAAGGAAGUGCAUCCGAAAACUGCAAGAGCUUGAGUUACUUUAAGAGGGAUCGCGGAAUUCCCGGUGUAGAGGUGAAAUUCGUAGAUAUCGGGAGGAACACCAGUGGCGAAGGGCGGCGAUCUGGGAAGAGUACUUGACGCUGAGGGUGCGAAAAGCGUGGGGGGAGCAAACAGG